GAUGAACGCUGGCGGUAUGCUUAACACAUGCAAGUCGAACGGACUCUUCGGAGUUAGUGGCGGACGGGUGAGUAACGCGUGAGAAUCUGGCUUUGGGUUCGGGACAACCACUGGAAACGGUGGCUAAUACCGGAUGUGCCGAGAGGUAAAAGAGAAAUUGCCUGAAGAUGAGCUCGCGUCUGAUUAGCUAGUUGGUGAGGUAAAGGCUCACCAAGGCAGCGAUCAGUAGCUGGUCUGAGAGGAUGACCAGCCACACUGGGACUGAGACACGGCCCAGACUCCUACGGGAGGCAGCAGUGGGGAAUUUUCCGCAAUGGGCGAAAGAAUGACGGAGCAAUACCGCGUGAGGGAAGAAGGAUCUUGGGUUGUAAACCUCUUUUCUUAGGGAAGAACAAAAUGACGGUACCUAAGGAAUCAGCAUCGGCUAACUCCGUG
rnacentral:rRNA from 1 species